rnacentral:misc_RNA from 1 species
CCAAGUCGGAAUCGGAUCGUCCGCUUCUUCUUCAUCUUCUCCAAAUCUUGAACCAAGAAGAUGACCCGAGGAAAGCAGAAAAUCGAAGCUCAGAAACGAAAUGCGGAGAAAAAUCAGAAGCAGAAAGGCUCACAGCUUGAGGCCAGAGCCGUUGCCCUUAAAGUCACCUGCCCUAUUUGCAAGGUACAGCUUGCAAAUCAAAACCAGUUGGG